rnacentral:rRNA from 1 species
UACGAAGGGGGCUAGCGUUGCUCGGAAUUACUGGGCGUAAAGCGCACGUAGGCGGCUCUUUAAGUCGGGGGUGAAAUCCUGGAGCUCAACUCCAGAACUGCCUUCGAUACUGGAGAGCUUGAGUUCGGGAGAGGUGAGUGGAACUGCGAGUGUAGAGGUGAAAUUCGUAGAUAUUCGCAAGAACACCAGUGGCGAAGGCGGCUCACUGGCCCGAUGCUGACGCUGAGGUGCGAAAGCGUGGGGAGCAAACAGG